rnacentral:rRNA from 1 species
UCUUCCGCAAUGGACGAAAGUCUGACGGAGCGACGCCGCGUGAGCGAAGAAGGUCUUCGGAUCGUAAAGCUCUGUUGUUAGGGAAGAAGAAGUACCGUUCGAAUAGGGCGGUACGGUGACGGUACCUAACGAGAAAGCCCCGGCUACCUACGUGCCAGCAGCCGCGGUAAUACGUAGGGGGCGAGCGUUGUCCGGAAUUAUUGGGCGUAAAGCGCGCGCAGGCGGUCCCUUAAGUCUGAUGUGAAAGCCCACGGCUCAACCGUGGAGGGUCAUUGGAAACUGGGGGGACUUGAGUGCAGAAGAGGAGAGCGGAAUUCCACGUGUAGCGGUGAAAUGCGUAGAGAUGUGGAGGAACACCAGUGGCGAAGGCGGCUCUCUGGUCUGUAACUGACGCUGAGGCGCGAAAGCGUGGGGAGCAAACAG